rnacentral:rRNA from 1 species
ACGCUCGACACCUACGGAGGCAGCAGUGGGGAAUAUUGCACAAUGGGGGAAACCCUGAUGCAGCGACGCCGCGUGAGUGAAGAAGUAUUUCGGUAUGUAAAGCUCUAUCAGCAGGGAAGAAGAUGACGGUACCUGAGUAAGAAGCCCCGGCUAACUACGUGCCAGCACGCCGGACGGUAAUCUGAGGCGGGCGUGGACGAAGGC